rnacentral:tRNA from 1 species
GGGAAUGUGGCUUAGUGGUAGAGUGCAUGCCUAGCAGGCAUGAAGCCCUGGGUUCCAUUCCUC